rnacentral:rRNA from 1 species
GAUGAACGCUAGCGACAGGCCUAACACAUGCAAGUCGAGGGGCAGCAUGAAAUUAGCUUGCUAAUUUUGAUGGCGACCGGCGCACGGGUGAGUAACACGUAUGCAACCUGCCUGUAAGCGGGGGAUAACCCGGAGAAAUUCGGACUAAUACCGCAUAAUAUCAUUAAUUCGCAUGUUUUAAUGAUUAAAAAUUUAUUGCUUACAGAUGGGCAUGCGUAUGAUUAGCUAGUUGGCGGGUAACGGCCCACCAAGGCGACGAUCAUUAGGGGGUUCUGAGAGGAAGGUCCCCCANAUUGGAACUGAGACACGGUCCAGACUCCUACGGGAGGCAGCAGUGAGGAAUAUUUGGGUCCAAAUGGUCGGAAGACUGGAACCAGCCAAGUAGCGUGAAGGAUGAAGGUUCUAUGGAUUG